rnacentral:rRNA from 1 species
AUUGAACGCUGGCGGAAUGCUUUACACAUGCAAGUCGAGCGGCAGCGCGGGGGCAACCCUGGCGGCGAGCGGCGAACGGGUGAGUAAUAUAUCGGAACGUACCCCGUCGUGGGGGAUAACACAGCGAAAGCUGUGCUAAUACCGCAUACGACCUGAGGGUGAAAGCGGGGGAUCGCAAGACCUCGCGCGAUGGGAGCGGCCGAUAUCGGAUUAGCUUGUUGGUGAGGUAAAGGCUCACCAAGGCGACGAUCCGUAGCUGGUCUGAGAGGACGACCAGCCACACUGGAACUGAGACACGGCCCAGACUCCUACGGGAGGCAGCAGUGGGGAAUUUUGGACAAUGGGGGCAACCCUGAUCCAGCCAUUCCGCGUGAGUGAAGAAGGCCUCGGUUGUAAG